rnacentral:rRNA from 1 species
GUAGGGAAUAUUGCACAAUGGAGGAAACUCUGAUGCAGCGACGCCGCGUGAGUGAUGAAGGCCUUCGGGUCGUAAAGCUCUGUCGCAGGGGAAUAACACAAUGAAGGUACCCUGUAAGAAAGGAUAGGCUAACUUCGUGCCAGCAGCCGCGGUAAGACGAGGGAUCCUAGCGUUGUUCGGAAUCAUUGGGCGUAAAGCGGAUGUAGGUGGCUAUGUAAGUCAGAUGUGAAAGCCUGGGGCUCAACCCCAGAAGUGCAUUUGAUACUGCGUAGCUUGAGUGUCUGAGAGGUUACUAGAAUUGUUGGUGUAGUGGUGAAAUACGUAGAUAUCAACAGGAAUACCGGAGGCGAAGGCGGGUAACUGGCCGAACACUGACACUGAGAUCCGAAAGCGUGGGGAUCAAACAGGAUUAGAUACCCGGGUAGUCC